rnacentral:tRNA from 1 species
UUAUAAGAAAUUAUAAAAAAAUUAUAUUUCUAAGCUAAUUAAAAUUCAAUAAACCAUUAUUUCAUCUGUAGAA